AACGAACGCUGGCGGCAUGCCUAACACAUGCAAGUCGAACGAUUGCCUUCGGGUGAUAGUGGCGCACGGGUGCGUAACGCGGGGGAAUCUGCCCUUAGGUUCGGAAUAACAGCUGGAAACGGCUGCUAAUACCGGAUGAUAUCGCGAGAUCAAAGAUUUGUCGCCUGAGUAUGAGCCCGCGUUGGAUAAGGUAGUUGGUGGGGUAAGGGCCUACCAAGCCGACGAUCCAUAGCUGGUCUGAGAGGGUGAUCAGCCACACUGGGACUGGGACACGGCCCAGACUCCUACGGGAGGCAGCAGUGGGGAAUAUUGGACAGUGGGCGCAAGCCUGAUCCAGCAAGGCCGCGUGAGUGAUGAAGGCCCUAGGGUUGUAAAGCUCUUUUACCCGGGAAGAUAAUGACGGUACCGGGAGAAUAAGCCCCGGCUAACUCCGUG
rnacentral:rRNA from 1 species